GCUCCUGUAGCUCAAUCGGCAGAGCACCCGCCUUGUAAGCGGAAGGUUGUCGGUUCAAUUCCGACCAGGAGCU
rnacentral:tRNA from 1 species